rnacentral:lncRNA from 1 species
UAGUCGGCUAUAGUUAUUUUUUUAAAUUUUUUAUAUGGUUUAGCCGACGAAACAGACUAUAUUUUGUAGGCUAUAGUUAUUUUUUAAAAUUUUUUUAUAAGGUUUAGCCGACAAAACAUACUACAUUUCGUCGGCUAUAGUCUGGGAAAAUUUUUUUUAUUACAGACUUUAGCUGACGAAUAUCUUAAUUGUUUCGUCGGCUAAAGUCUGGGAAAAAAACCGACGACAUGUUUUUCGUCGGCUAAACUGCGGGACUAUAGCCGACGAAAAUUUUUUUUUCGUCGGCUAAAGUCAUCACAGACGAUCUUUUCCCGACAAAAUCUUAGCCGACGAUGGCUCGUCGGCUAAGAUCUUAGCCGAUGAAUUAAGCUAACAGGCCGACGAAAAUUUUUUGUCCGCUAAAGUGCUUGUCCUAGUAGUGUUAGGCUUAUUUCGGUGGCUACUGGCCUCCUUGAAGAUUUUUAUGUCUUCUAUUUCAAUCACAAAACAUGAACAAAUUUAUAUAUCACAUACGUAUUUAUCAUCCGAAUAAAUUAAGAAUAUAAAUUUAGAAUAUAAAUUUAGGUCUUCAUGCAUCAUAACGUUUUCUUCAUGCAUCAUAUAUAGAUUUCAAAAUGCAACCAAAGACAAUGGGUUCAUGCUUCAUGGUGAUUUGUUCAUCAUAUAAUCAAGGCUAGCAAAUAUGAAUUGGAAUUAAGAUAAGAAAACGUCACUCAUUGCAGAAUGGAUAAUCUCCAUCUUUUAUGUGUAGAACUGAGAAGACCAUUUGUGGAGCUACUCAGCCAAUCCAAAAACUUGAUUAAAUAAUGAUCCUCAUAUGGUUGAUCAUCGAUUUCAAAGGUUUCCAUGGCAAUGUAGAGCGAAUUCGAUGAAUCAAAUUCAAAGAUCAUCCUUUGUUUUUAGAGCUUCACAUGCAACAGAAAACAAGAUAAUGUUAGAACUAUUUGUGCUGAUAACGUGUUGUAAAACGAAAAUGAAUAGAUUGAGAGAGGAGAGAAACAACCAAGAGAAUGAGAGAAUGUGUGUAUUAUUGAGUAGGGAACCAUCUCUUAUAUAGAGAUGUAAUCAGUAUGUAAAUUAUAUGAAUAUCCCUAGUAAGCUAAUUUACAAGAAUGCCCAUUCAAUAAACUAUUUACAACAAAAACAACAAAAUAUAAAUACUUAUUUCUUUUUUNUUUUUUUUUU